UAUUUUUACUUGCUAACAGCAAACUAACAUUAUUCAUCGUGUCAUUUUUCAUGUCGGGAGUUGGAGCCUUUUUUUCUGACUGACGGCCGGAAUGCCGCCAAAAGGCUGAUAACAUGGACUGAUUUCUAGUCUAAAUGUAGUCUGCAGCGUCGGAGAUGUAUUUUGGAUCCUCUUCUUGUGAAUACCACAGAUAGUAUCGAUGAUAACAUCAACUGUUUGUGGUCAUGUCGUCUGCAUCGGAGGUGUAUUGGAGUCUUUUCCUGUGAUUGCCGUCGUAGCGGUGCUAACAUCAGGAGAUUUCUCCAAGCAAAAACAGGAUCCUGACUAUGAGAGGCAGAAUCAUCAUACAGCCAGCUGUCCAUUUUACAGAAAUGCAGAAUUAGGUAACACAAAAUACAUUUAGUUUUACUUUGCAUUUACAUUUAUGCAUUUGCCAGAUGCUUUUAUCCUAAGCAAGUUACAUUGUAUUUAAAGUACACAUUUUAUUAAGUUAUUCAUUCCCUGGGAGUCUAACAGGGGCGGCACUAGGGGUGGGCUAAGGGGGCUGAAGCCCCAAAUGUUUUUAUUACAGUGUCUUAUGCACAUCAAGAUUGAGUUUUCAUGCGCAUUCUAAUUAUUUCUAUUAAACCAGCACUUAAACAGCAAAAUGCAGCUGCUUCAGGUAUCUUUAACUUACUGUAGCCUAUAAAUUCAUAAUACCGAUCUCACUAUCUGUCAAAAUUUGAUUAUUAUUACUGUAUAGCAUCAAAUAUAGAUUUUUAAGUAGGCCUAUUAUAUGUACAGACUUUCUUGGACACACACGCAUUUAGAGCGAUUAUAUGAACAGAUUGGUUAGCAUUUAGCCUGGUCUGUGGCAGGCUUUACUAAGAGUCAGGGCAACAAAAUUCAAUAAACAAGAAGUUAAUA